UCGGAGACUUGAGACGGGCACGGGUGGGAACACGUGUAACCUGCCUUUAUCAGGGGGAUAGCCUUUCGAAAGGAAGAUUAAUACCCCAUAAUAUAUUGAGUGGCAUCACUUGAUAUUGAAAACUACGGUGGAUAGAGAUGGGCACGCGCAAGAUUAGAUAGUUGGUAGGGUAACGGCCUACCAAGUCAAUGAUCUUUAGGGGGCCUGAGAGGGUGAUCCCCCACACUGGUACUGAGACACGGACCAGACUCCUACGGGAGGCAGCAGUGAGGAAUAUUGGACAAUGGGUGAGAGCCUGAUCCAGCCAUCCCGCGUGAAGGACGACGGCCCUAUGGGUUGUAAACUUCUUUUGUAUAGGGAUAAACCUUUCCUCGUGAGGAAAGCUGAAGGUACUAUACGAAUAAGCACCGGCUAACUCCGUGCCAGCAGCCGCGGUAAUACGGAGGGUGCAAGCGUUAUCCGGAUUUAUUGGGUUUAAAGGGUCCGUAGGCGGAUCUGUAAGUCAGUGGUGAAAUCUCAUAGCUCAACUAUGAAACUGCCAUUGAUACUGCAGGUCUUGAGUAAGGUAGAAGUAGCUGGAAUAAGUAGUGUAGCGGUGAAAGCAUAGAUAUUACUUAGAACACCAAUUGAAGGCAGGUUACUAUGUCUACUG
rnacentral:rRNA from 1 species